rnacentral:rRNA from 1 species
UACGUAGGGUGCGAGCGUUAAUCGGAAUUACUGGGCGUAAAGCGUGCGCAGGCGGUCUGUUAAGACAGAUGUGAAAUCCCCGGGCUUAACCUGGGAACUGCAUUUGUGACUGGCAGGCUAGAGUAUGGCAGAGGGGGGUAGAAUUCCACGUGUAGCAGUGAAAUGCGUAGAGAUGUGGAGGAAUACCGAUGGCGAAGGCAACCCCCUGGGCCAAUACUGACGCUCAUGCACGAAAGCGUGGGGAGCAAACAGG